AAGAACUUAUUUAUUUCUACCUUAAUUUCGUUGUUUACUCAGUAGUCAUUCAGGAGCAGGUGGUUCAAUUUCCACGUAGUUGUGCAGUUUUUAGUGAGUGUCUUAAUCUUGAGUUCUAAUUUGAUUGCACUGUGUUCUGAGAGACUGUUAUGAUUUUUAUUCUUUUGCAUUUGCUGAGGAUGAU